rnacentral:tRNA from 5 species
GCGGAAGUAGCUCAGCUGGUAGAGCGCAACCUUGCCAAGGUUGAGGUCGCGGGUUCGAGCCCCGUCUUCCGCU